CGGCCCCUACGGGGCGCAGCAGUAGGGAAUCUUCCACAAUGGACGAAAGUCUGAUGGAGCAACGCCGCGUGAGUGAAGAAGGGUUUCGGCUCGUAAAGCUCUGUUGGUAGUGAAGAAAGAUAGAGGUAGAAACUGGCCUUUAUUUGACGGGAAUUACUUAGAAAGUCACGGCUAACUACGUGCCAGCAGCCGCGGUAAUACGUAGGUGGCAAGCGUUGUCCGGAUUUAUUGGGCGUAAAGCG
rnacentral:rRNA from 1 species